GUCUUCGUGGCCCAGUUGGUUAGCGCGUCAGUCUCAUAUUUCUAAUAUGAUCCAAUCAUCAGAUUGGGAUAUCUGAAGGUCGUGAGUUCGAGCCUCACCGAGGACA